rnacentral:lncRNA from 1 species
GCUCUGAAGACAAGUUACAGGACAUGAGAAGAAACCCCAGGUGGCCUCCCCAUCAGCAGGUGAGCGGGUAGAGUCCUGACCAGAUGCCAGAGCAGUUUAAGAUGUCACUUCAUCCAGAGGGCAGAGGACAAGCAGGAGACCAACAGAGGCCCAGGUGGUCCAAGGAGCACUGGGUAAGGACCAGACCAGAGCUCCAGCCCAUGCGCCUGGGGCCUGAAGCAGUUUCCUCACCCGCGCUGCAUGUGAAAUGACCCCUGACUGUCCAGGUUAAGGAUGGCGGUAGCACUUCUGCCUGGAACGCUGUAUUGAGAACGAUUUUCUGAGGCUGUGGUUAAUUCGUGAUGCCCGUGGGGAGAGCCAGAGGUUGCUUGUCAAUGUCUUGUUACUUCUCUACCAUCCUGAUGAAGAGCAUUUGUCAGGGUUCUUCCAGCUCACAAAUCCUACCAGCCUAUGAUUUCGAAGUUAAAAUCUCCAGGCACUGGCUGGAAGCACCGGAAGUCAGAGGAGGAAGAGAUGUGAGUGGGUUAGAACCUCAGGGAAGGCUCUGGGGAGGAGGCGGCUCUCCACGAGGCCGUGCGGGUGCCGCGUGCUUGUUGUGCAGGAGGUGGGAGGACAUUUAUGGGCAAGAAAAUGGGGCUGAGCAGAGGCUGUUCACGGUACAGGGAGGAGGAGGCCAGCAUCGCUGGAACGCGCUGUCUCUGUCUCGGACAAACGGGAUCAGACGUGUGAGGUCGUGGUGGUGCCUGAAAACCAGAACUGACUCCGUGGGAAGACUCAGAACCAGAUGCUCCAGCACCGUUAUCCCAGGGGCCUCGCCCACACCCCCAGGGCGGUGGAGAUUCUCUGAGGUCCGGAAGGAGGGCAGGGACAGCUGCAUCCCAGGAAGGAAGACUUGCUGGAGGAGACGGACCGCACAACGGCUUCCAGCCAGGGAUGCCCGCAUGAGCACUGAGGGCCAGGGUCCCGGUUCCUUCCUGCUUCCCCCAAACCCUAUCUAG